CCAUUACAGAUCUGCUCGCAUUUCACCUCCAAAAUUUCAGUUCGUUCUUUCGCCUUCGCUCCCUCUUUCCUCUAUCUCAUAGAUACUCCUAAGCUGUAAGCUUAAGAAUACAAGUCCAUUUAAGGUCAGCUUCUUCCAUCUUCAGAAAUUUUCUUUUCUGGUCAAAAUUUCCCUUCGUGGCAGGUUACUGUUAGCAAUUACGAUUUUGAUUUCAGGACUGUGAUACUUAUUUACUUAUAUCC
rnacentral:misc_RNA from 1 species